AUUGAACGCUGGCGGAAUGCUUUACACAUGCAAGUCGGGCGGCAGCGCGGGGGCAACCCUGGCGGCGAGCGGCGAACGGGUGAGUAAUACAUCGGAACGUGUCCUUGAGUGGGGGAUAGCUCGGCGAAAGCCGGAUUAAUACCGCAUAAGCUCUGAGGAGGAAAGCGGGGGACUGGUAACGGCCUCGCGCUGUUGGAGCGGCCGAUGUCGGAUUAGCUAGUUGGUGGGGUAAAGGCCCACCAAGGCGACGAUCCGUAGCUGGUCUGAGAGGAUGAUCAGCCACACUGGAACUGAGACACGGUCCAGACUCCUACGGGAGGCAGCAGUGGGGAAUUUUGGACAAUGGGGGCAACCCUGAUCCAGCCAUUCCGCGUGAGUGAAGAAGG
rnacentral:rRNA from 1 species